AGAGUUUGAUCCUGGCUCAGAACGAACGCUGGCGGCAGGCUUAACACAUGCAAGUUGAACGGGAUUGUUAAGUAGCUUGCUAUUUAACAAGAGAGUAGCGCACUGGUGAGUAACACGUGGGAACGUACCUUUUGGUGGGGGACAACAUCUGGAAACGGAUGCUAAUACCGCAUAAGACCUGAGGGUGAAAGAUUUAUCGCCGAAAGAACGGCCCGCGGAAGAUUAGGCAGUUGGUGGGGUAAAGGCCUACCAAACCUACGAUCUAUAGCUGGUCUGAGAGGACGAUCAGCCACACUGGAACUGAGACACGGUCCAGACUCCUACGGGAGGCAGCAGUGAGGAAUAUUGGGCAAUGGAGGCAACUCUGACCCAGCCAUGCCGCGUGAGUGAAGAAGGUUUUCGGAUUGUAAAGCUCUUUCGGAUGUGACGAUGAUGACGGUAGCAUCUAAAGAAGCCCCGGCUAACUUCGUGCCAGCAGCCGCGGUAAUACGAAGGGGGCGAGCGUUGUUCGGAAUUACUGGGCGUAAAGGGUGUGUAGGCGGUUAUGUAAGAUAGCGGUGAAAUCCCGGGGCUUAACCUCGGAAUAGCCGUUAUAACUAUGUAGCUAGAGUUAUGGAGAGGAUAGCGGAAUACCCAGUGUAGAGGUGAAAUUCGUAGAUAUUGGGUAGAACACCGGUGGCGAAGGCGGCUAUCUGGCCAUAUACUGACGCUGAGGCACGAAAGCAUGGGGAUCAAACAGGAUUAGAUACCCUGGUAGUCCAUGCUGUAAACGAUGAAUGCUGGUUGUCGGCUUUAGGGUCGGUGACGAAGUUAACGCGAUAAGCAUUCCGCCUGGGGAGUACGGUCGCAAGAUUAAAACUCAAAGGAAUUGACGGGGACCCG
rnacentral:rRNA from 1 species